rnacentral:rRNA from 1 species
GACGAACCGUGCGAACGUUAUUCGGAAUCACUGGGCUUAAAGCGCGUGUAGGCGGGACGGCACGUCGGUCGCUGAAAUCCCCCGGCUCAACCGGGGAACGGGCGCCGAUACGACCGGCCUGGAGGGGCGUAGGGGGACCUGGAACUUCCGGUGGAGCGGUGAAAUGCGUUGAGAUCGGAAGGAACGCCCGUGGCGAAAGCGAGGUCCUGGACGCCUACUGACGCUGAGGCGCGAAAGCUAGGGGAGCAAACAGG